rnacentral:rRNA from 1 species
UACGUAGGGUGCAGGCGUUAAUCGGAAUUACUGGGCGUAAAGAGCGCGCAGGCGGUCGUUCAAGUCGAGUGUGAAAGCCCCCGGCUCAACUGGGGAGGGUCAUUCGAUACUGAUCGACUCGAAGGCAGGAGAGGGAAGUGGAAUUCCCGGUGUAGUGGUGAAAUGCGUAGAUAUCGGGAGGAACACCAGUGGCGAAGGCGACUUCCUGGCCUGUUCUUGACGCUGAGGCGCGAAAGCUAGGGGAGCAAACGGG